GAUGAACGCUGGCGGCGUGCCUAAUACAUGCAAGUCGAGCAAACGGACGAGAAGCUUGCUUCUCUGAUGUUAGCGGCGGACGGGUGAGUAACACGUGGAUAACCUACCUAUAAGACUGGGAUAACUUCGGGAAACCGGAGCUAAUACCGGAUAAUAUUUUGAACCGCAUGGUUCAAAAGUGAAAGACGGUCUUGCUGUCACUUAUAGAUGGAUCCGCGCUGCAUUAGCUAGUUGGUAAGGUAACGGCUUACCAAGGCAACGAUGCAUAGCCGACCUGAGAGGGUGAUCGGCCACACUGGAACUGAGACACGGUCCAGACUCCUACGGGAGGCAGCAGUAGGGAAUCCUCCGCAAUGGGCGAAAGCCUGACGGAGCAACGCCGCGUGAGUGAUGAAGGUCUUCGGAUCGUAAAACUCUGUUAUUAGGGAAGAACAUAUGUGUAAGUAACUGUGCACAUCUUGACGGUACCUAAUCAGAAAGCCACGGCUAACUACGUG
rnacentral:rRNA from 1 species